GCGGCAGAAGCCUACGGAGAGGCAGAGCCAUCAGCGGACCAAUUGUCCAGCAUCAUUAAGGAAACAUGGUCCCCAGGACUGCAUACUUUGAUGAAAUUGAUACCCCAAUCGGUGUGGACUAGUGUAGAAGAAUUAUGGGCCCCUCAGGAGAUGCGUCCAAACGCCGAACAGCCCUCCAACAGCUUACGGCGGCGGGUCGGCGACCUUUU